UUGCUCAGGCGGGCAAGCCGAGGCGGGGAGGGGGGCGGGGCCACGUGACGCGGCGCGGAGACGGGCGGGAACCCCGGAGCCCGCGCUCGCCGCCGCGUGUUCUCGGCCCCUCCCACACCCCAGCCCCUACCUUACCCCACCCCCGUUUUGCACGAGCGCGCGCUCCUCUCCCACUCCUCCAGUCCUGUUCCCCCGCACCCUCCCUGUACCCCCGUCCCCUCCUUUCCUGCUCCCUCGCUUCUCCCGCGGCUGGGCCGUCUCAGCCCAAACUUUCACCGUUCCCCCAUUUUCCUCCCCAAAUUCAGGGUCUCCGAUCCUGCCGGGUCCACAUCAUUUCCCUCAGCUCCAACUUGAGAGGCAGGAAGCAUCGCUCCGCUUCACAGAUGAGAAAACUGAGGCUGCGCAGUUGUUACGCUGAUUCAGACUCAGAGGCUCCGGCUGGGGGUGCGGGCCCGCUCAUCACAGGGGAUGGACCCCCAAGACUUAAUAUGCCCCAAACUUAAAUCAGCCUCCAAAAUCGCCAGUUAGGGGAGAGGCCCUGGACGCUUUCACUUUUCCCAAACCUUGGCCCGGCGCCACUGUCAACAGCACUGGCUUUGGGGGUUCCCCAGGGCCUGGCAGGUGUGUGAAGAGUGGAGGCUAAGGCUCCCGGAGAAGGAAGCAGGGUGGGAGGGGAGGAGCUCCUCAGUCCUUGUCGGCGGGGUGGGGACCUGGCCUUGGCUGUCUGGAGGCCGCAGACUUUGAGGUUUUGUGACGGAGGCUGUGUGGAUUCCAGAGCACGCCGUGCUUAUUGACGGUGAAAUGCAGUGUUGACAUUUGUCCUGGUGAGAGCUCAAAAUCUAAGACUCAACAGUAAAUAUCCUUUGGUCUCUCUCUGUUGGUGGUUUUAGGGUCUUGUUUGCGAGUUUCUCCUUUAAUGCAGUGAUGUUAAACCAUUUCUCAAACCAACAGCACGGCAGGGGCCGAGGGGUGAAGACGGACACAGUGCACUGGCCUGAGCCGGGCUAGUCCUUGUGGACAGCCACCUCCCCAGUCCCCUGUCCACGGAGGACUCAAAGUCUAGCCUCUGUGUGACAGAGGGAAGCCAGGGGCUUGUGGGAAGUCAGGGAGGGCUUCCUGGAGGAAGUGACCGUUGAGUUGGAAGAUGGGUGAGAGAUAGGCAGGGAAGGGUGUGGCACACUGAGGUUACACAGAGGCUGGGGAACUGUAGUUGGCUGGGGAUAAGUCACAUGUGAGGUGGGGGUAGAAAUACAUGCGGAGAACCUGACAGGUGGUCAGGUAAAGCCGGUAGGAAUUUACUUGGUUGAUGUCAUUGAGUUGCUGAAGUGCAACCUCAGUGAGAUGUUUUGUUUGUUUGUUGUAUUCAUUUGUUUAAUAUUUAGAUUGCGCAUAUAAGUGAAAAAGUGUUUGUCUUUCUCUGACUUACUUCACAAAGCAUAAUACCUUCCAGGUCCAUCUGUAUUUUUGCAAAUGGCAAUAUCUGAUGCUUUUCUUUUUAUGGCUGAGUAAUAUUCCAUUGUGUAUAUAUGCUACGUCUUUAUCCACUCAUCUGUUGAUGGGCGCUGCAGCGAGGUGUUUUAAGGUCUGGAAACUUGACUAAACAUCCCAUGGAUCUUGGCAUCUCCCUAACAAGCCAGUCCCAGCUGAGUCGGUUGUGGGCACGCCAUGGAUGGUGGCUUCCAGCAAGAGCUCAGCCACCUCGGAAGUGCCUGGCAUGCAUACCCAUUCCCUGAUUUUAUCCUCUUUUACUGAUGGGGAAACCAAGGCACAGAGGCAGCAGGAGCGGGAGAAUGAACCACAGAGGGAGUCAGAGACCUAGUUUUGGAGCAGGUCACUUUCCCUCUUGGGGACUCAGCCUCCUGACCUGUAAAGUGGCCGCCCUUGGCCAUCCUUCCCCAAAAGCAUCACGGGCACCUUUGCUAACGGCUCUCAGGCCCUAACUGUCCACUUGACUGGAUCAUUCCUCACUCACACCAGCCUCAUGAGGCAGGGGCUGUUACUGUCCCCUUUUACAGAUGAGGAAACUGAGGCAGGGAUGUUUAGAUGACUUUCUGAGCUCACAUGGCCAGUGAACGGAACGGAGAGCCAGGCCCGCUGUGCUGUGGCUGCAGCAUUCGCGCCCUCCCCACCGGGCCAGCCGCCUCCCAGGGCCCUGAGGUCUGUCUCCUGGGUGGAGACAUUCCAAGCCUGCCAGUGACUGCCCUUCAAAUCUAAGUGAGAAUAGCUUUGGGAUAUGAAAAUGAUGCUUUCAGUUUCUUUUCAGAUAAAUUACUUAACUUUUCCCUCAAUCCUUUGAUUAAAAUUGAUGCUCACGGAAGAUGCGCCACAUGUAUCCAGAGGCUUCCCGGGCCGCCCAGGGUACAUCUGAGGGUCCCCUUCUGGGCCCGGCACUGAGGGAGGGGGAUGACCUCAGAGAUGUCCAUGUGGGGCUCUGCUGCAGGGUACUGUCCCAGCCAUCUGCCUGGAGGCUCCCAGAGCUGCUGGCAGCUGGAUCUGGCCACUGUCCCGGUUUCUGGGUCCCUGAAAGGCAGGAGACCAGGCUGAGUUGGGUCCUCGUUUUCUCACCUCUCAAAUGGGCAUCAAGCAGCAGGGUGUCCUGAAGCUCAGAGGGAAUAACAUGGGAGAGGAGAGGACCCAGGGGCCCCCCACCCGACAGGUCUGAGUAUGGAUGAUGGAGAUUAUGGCAGAGGCCCCAGCUGUGUCCUCUUCCGGGACAGAGCAGCCUGGGAUGGCAGACAGUGGAGCGAGCAAGGUGGGCAGUGGGAGUGACCUGGGGCAGGGGGAGGUGUUGGUGAGCUGGGCCAGGAAGGCUUUGAAUGCUAGGCUCUGCUGUGUACACUUUGCCUGCUCCCUUGUUCAACAGACACCCCAAGUUCCUUUCAUGUCCUGGGUUGGAUGAGUGCUGGGGCUCAAGCGUGAGUCAGAAAUGGUCCCGGCUGUGAGGGGACACACGGUGAUGGGUCAAGAAGGACACAUGGACACCUGGUGAAGGCUGAUGAGGGCUGCCAGAGUUUGGAGGAAGCCCCUCUCCCAGCCUGUGGCAGGUGUGGGGUCUGGGAGCAUCCUAACGCUUUUGACUGUAACAGACAGAAAACCCAGCUCUGAACCAGCCCAGAAGUCCAAGCGGCCAUAUUGGCCCAUGUAGCUGAAACGGUCUGGGGGUGCUAUGGAAAUCAGGUAUGGCUUGAUCAAGGCUGAGCAAUUUCCUGCCCUUUUUCGUGGGCUGCUGGAUCUUCAGGGUGGCAGCAGAUUGGCUCCAGCCAUUCCAGGCCUCAUCUUUAUACACAGCUGUGUGGAGAGAAACUGCUCCAGUGGCCCUCUCAGGACAGCAAGGGAUCUUCUUUCCCAGAAGCACCUGGAAAGCUUUUCCUGAUACCUCACGGGCCUGAAUGAACCUAUAUCUGUGGCCAGGAAAGUUGCUGUGUGCUGACUGGCUCAACUUGGCUUCCUCAACAAACCUUUGAGAGGGGAGAUGGGCUUCCUCUUAGAGCCCUGUAUCAGACGCCCCAUCCUGAGCCUAAAGCCGAGAGCCAGGUCCUACAGAUACGGCCGAGGGCUCUUGCUCUGUGCGCCCCGCACAUCGUCCGCGCCACUCAAAUUAAAUUUGGUGCUAAUUUGCCCGAGGGAAAAAGUGACACCAUGGACAUCAUCCCCCCUCGCCCCAUCCAAGCGGGUGGCUUUCCUGUGGCCAGAUGUACGCUCCUACUUCUGAGAUGGGUAAAGAAACCAGUCCUUGUCCUUGAAGCUCAACCGUGAUUUAGUUCAUGACUUCCUACGCUGAGCGCGCACGCAGACAUGUUGAGAUCCCAAGAAGAACUCGGCACGUUGUGGGCAGAACCCGGGGGCAGGGGAGAGGUGCCUGCUUUUACCACAAGUGUCCAGUGUGGAUAAGGGAGCCGGGCAACGACAUCUUCCUAUUUCUCCUUUCUUGAAAAAGUUGAGAAAUGCAAGAGCGACCAUCCUUUCAGGAAUGAGGAGGCGUUCUCAACGGCUCAAGGACUCUCUGUGUGAAGUCAGAGAUCUCCAUCUGGGUUCCGUCCAGGGAAGGAUGGGCUCAGUGAAUUGUCCCUGAGGGCUUGGUCCAAAGGACCUGUGCCCGGGUGAGUCUGGGCAUUGAAGUUGCUUCCACAUUGCUGAACCCAAACCACGUACUGCGUGAGGUCAGCUUCGCAUCAUUUUCACAUCAAAGCUGAUGAUGGCUGGGGUCACAAGUUUGGGAAAAAAGUCACCUAUUUCAGCUAUCUGAGUGAGCUCCAUGAACACCUCAAAUACGACCAGCUGACCAUCCCCCCGGAGGUUCUGCAGUGAGUGAGACCCUGUCCUGGGAGGCGUGGGCUACGCCCUCGAGCUUCCUUGGGCCUCCGUCCCAUCCCGUGAACGCUGAAGGCUUAAUUUUCAGACGUGUGCCCGGCCAGAUCCGGUUCCGAAAUCUGCGGCCUCAACAAAGAUUCACAGUGAAAGAUGCUAACUGCUGACUCAGAGCAACAAGGCUGAGGAUGGCUGUGUACACGGAUGAGAUGCGUUCCUCACCCACCACUGCAAAACUGAUUAACAAAAAAAAAUCAGCCACGGCGGUAACUGCUGUUCGCUGCCUUGGCGUUUACCAUUCUUGCUUCGGAGCAGAGAACGGGGGCGAUUUCUCGGGUGUGUGGAUGACACCGUGGACAGCAUGAAAGGUUCCCAGGCCCAUUGCAGGUGUUCUGGAGGACAGCCCACCUGGUGCUUCCGGCUAGAGGCCUAGUUAACGUGUCUACUGCUUUGUUUUAUACAGCAGUGGUCCCCGACUUGGACAGGGCGUCAGGUGGGUGGAGGGAGCCCAGGAAGGUGUGUGGUCGGUCCCGGACCCACCGUUAGCUCUGGGUGGAGCUCAGUCUCUGAGCCCUGCCUGAGCACCCUCUGCCCUUUGCAUCACCCUCUCUGGGGGCUCAAUGGAGCCCCCAGAGAGGGUGCAGGGUCCUCGCCAAGCUGCACGCAGGUGAGGCCGGCAGCCCCGCAGGGGGAGUGGAGAUGUCGCGCUCCCUCUGGGCGCCAAGUCACAGGCACUGGGGAUAUUAGAGCCGUGUAGGGAGUGUGUCUGCCCACAGGACACUCGCAGGGAGUGGGGCCACAAGUCGGUGACAGUAGGAGCCGAAAGAGGGGCUGAACCCAGCUAGGGAGGGGACCGGUGAAGAGGGGAUAUCAGGGAAGGCUUCCAUGAGGAGGUGACUUCUGAAGUGAGUUUCAGAGGGACUGUUGGCUAGAUCGAGAGUCCAGGGAAAGGUGUUUCCUGCAGAGGGAAGCUCUUGUGUAGACACGUGGGUGAAGUAUUGGCCAGGGGUUGGUAAGAGAGCCUGGACACUUGACAGAGGUCGGAUGACCCUUGCUGGCUUGUGUGUGUUCCCGUGUGUGCAUGUGCAAGACAGCCAUAAGGCACGUGGGCCCAGAAGGACGGGACACUCAGGUAUCCUGCAGACCUUUGUGGGGCAUCUGCCCCCAACAGCACCUGGAGCCGGCCCCUUGUGGCCCGAGGCUUCUCACCUGCAGGGUCACAGCUGUACUUCCUCUGUGUCCACAGAUACGACUAGGAGCUUCGGAACCUGCACGCGGGCAGGCUGCCCCCUCCCACAAAGACGGCCCUGCCGCAGCCCCUCUGCCCACCCAGCGGUUUGGCGUCAGUCUGCGAUAGUAAGUGAGCCUCCCCGUGGCCUGCCCUUGUUUCCUGGGAGGGUCGGGUGCUUCCGUGUGCCGGGGAGUUCUCUCCAGACCUUGGCCUCUGCAUCCGAGCUUAACCCUGCAGGAAAACUGAAGUGUGAGCUUGGCACUGAGGCCGGAGUGCCCGCCGCUGUGUGUGUCUGUGUGCAGAGGACCCAGCCGUGGGCAGGGAGGGGACGACCCCCAGGCCACGCUGGGAUACCUCCCACCACCUUCCACGUGAAGUGUGGCCACGUGCUUUGCUCUGGCCAAGGAGACAGGAGUGGCCGCGGGGCGGAUCACCUCCUGGAGGGAGCUUCCGGGGCCAGUUCAUAGUUCGCCUCUCGUGGGGACGGAAGCCGGGUGGAGAUGGUGCCUCGCUGGCCUGCGUCCCUGAGUGACCACAGAGUGCCUCCCACUGACACCCACGCUGCGGGAGGGCACGAGUGAGGGGUGAACUUCUGUGGGGUUCAGCUGCCGGGAUUUAGGUACUCUUGUUACCACGGUGUGUCCUACCCUUCCUGCCUGAUCUUACCCUUAUUAGGCCACAUGACCUUGAACUCACUCCCCCUCUCAGCUUGUUUCCUUAUUUCUAAAAUCAGCAAGUUGGAUGAUGUGAUCUUUAAUCUUCUCUCCUUGGAAACGAUUCUGGGCCAACUGUCCAUGCCAACUUUGUCUCUUUUAAGACUCAUCUCACCUCCUCCAGGAAGCCUUCCCUGAUGCUCUAGACUGCAUACAGGGCCCCCCUCUAUCGCAACCCAGAUCUGAGCAGGCUGCUGUGGGGAGUCCCGCCAGCUGCUUUCCCUGCUCAGCGACGAGCCCCUUGUCCUCCUCCUAUUUUCUGCUUCUGGCACCAGGCCAGGUGCUGAGGCACCUGAAAUGAUGGAAGAUGAAGGGGUUGUUUUAACCGUACAACCACCGUUGGGCACUUGGGUCUGAGCUACACGAUGUACAGGACCUGGAGGGUGGAGGAUCCCGGAGAGGCGUGUGCUCAAUUUCAUUUGUUAGUAGCUUCUUGUUAGAAACUUGCAUGUGAUCUGUUUCUACAUAAAAAUCUGAUGAUCUUUAAGACCCAUGUUGGAUUUUUUUUUUUUUUUUUUUGGUUGCACUGGGUCUUUGAUGCUAUGCGGGGGCUUUCUCUAGUUGCGGCGAGCGGGGGCUGUUCUUCGUUGCGGUGCACGGGCUUCUCUUGUUGUGGAGCACGGGCUCUAGGCACAUGGGCUUCAGUAGUUGCAGCACAUGGGCUCUAGAGCACAGGCUCAGUAGUUGUGGCGCAUGGGCUUAGUUGCUCCGCAGCAUGUGAGAUCUUCCCGGACCAGGACUCGAACCCGUGUCCCCUGCAUUGGCAGGCGGAUUCUUAACCACUGUGCCACCAGGGAAGUCCCCGCGAUUGCCUCUUUAAAUUAAUAUUUUAUUCUGUUUCAUUGCAAAUGACUAUCAUAAAAUUGCAAUAAACAUAUUAAAUAAA